CUCAAAGUGAAGAAAAUUUUAUUCAAAUUCUAUUUACAGUACUGUUUACAUUCCUCAAAAACACUUAAAGCAAAGCAAUGCGGCUCACAAAACUACUGUGAAAAUCACCUUACAUUCAAGGGACACCAAGACUGUUCAAAACACUGACAUUUAGACAUGGUCAUAAAGACUAGAGAGAAAAUUUAAAUGCACCUUUAGUACCUUUUAUGACAGAGACAAUAACACAAAACGAUGUUCAGUAACACAAACAAAAUUAAGAUAAUCACAAACAAGUAACUUGCUGCGGCUGAUGACAACAAAACGUGUUGCCUGUCCAAACAGAAGGUUUCAUCCGAAAACCGGAUUUUCGUUGUAUGAGGCAAGAGUGUGCCCUCCAAAAAUGACAUCUUAAAACAAAUAAUGCAGCUCAUAAAAAUUCUUAUGUGAAACUCACCUUACAUUUAAGGGAGACCAAGACUGUGCGCACUGAUAUUUAAGACAUGGUCAUAAAGACAGGAGAGAGAAAAUUUAAAUGUACCUUCAGUACCUUUAAUGACAGAGACAAUAACACAAACUGCUGUUAACUAAGAAAAAUAAAAAUUAAAGAUAAUCACAAACAGGUACCUCACUGCGGCUGAUGCCUGUCGGAAAACAGAAAGUCUUCAUGAUACCGGAUUUCUGUUUUAGGAAGCAACAGUGUGCCCUGCAUACACAGUAUACCGUCCAAAAACAAAGUAAUGCAGCUUACAAAAGUACUUGUAUGAAAAUCACCUCACAUUCAAUGUAGACCAAGGCUGCACAAAACACCUACAUUACCUUUUAUGACAGAGACAAUGACACAAAACAAUGUUCAAUAAGACAAAAAAUUAAAGAUAAUCACAAACAGGUACCUCACUGUGGCUGAUGACAACAGGUUUGUCAUCACAGGUUUCAUCCUGAUACUGGAGUUUUGUUGUAGAAGACAACAGUGUUCCCUCCAAAAAUGACAUCUUAACGUCAUUAGGCCUCAGCCCACCGAGUCACUGAGUUGUAGGAUUUGG